AGAGUUUGAUCCUGGCUCAGAUUGAACGUUGGCGGCAGGCCUUAUACAUGCAAGUCGAACGAGAAAGCACUUCGGUGUGAGUACAGUGGCGGACGGGUGAGUAACGCGUAGGAAUCUACCUAGUAGUGGGGGACAACUCGGGGAAACUCGAGCUAAUACCGCAUACGACCUAAGGGUGAAAGUGGGGGAUCUUCGGACCUCACGCUAUUAGAGGAGCCUGCGUUGGAUUAGCUUGUUGGUGAGGUAAUGGCUCACCAAGGCUACGAUCUAUAGCUGGUCUGAGAGGACGAUCAGCCACACUGGAACUGAGACACGGUCCAGACUCCUACGGGAGGCAGCAGUAGGGAAUCUUGGUCAAUGGGCGCAAGCCUGAACCAGCCAUGCCGCGUGUGCGAAGAAGGCCCUAGGGUUGUAAAGCACUUUCAGUCGCGAAGAAAUGCUCAAAGUUAAUACCUUUGAGAGUUGACGUUAACGACAGAAGAAGAUCCGGCUAACUCCGUGCCAGCAGCCGCGGUAAUACGGAGGGAUCGAACGUUAAUCGGAAUUACUGGGCGUAAAGCGCGCGUAGGCGGUUUGUUAAGUGAGAUGUGAAAGCCCCGGGCUCAACCUUGGAACUGCAUCUCAUACUGGCAGACUAGAGUAUGGUAGAGGGAGGUAGAAUUUCCUGUGUAGCGGUGAAAUGCGUAGAUAUAGGAAGGAAUACCGAUGGCGAAAGCAGCCUCCUGGACCAAUACUGACGCUGAGGUGCGAAAGCGUGGGGAGCAAACAGGAUUAGAUACCCUGGUAGUCCACGCCGUAAACGAUGAGAACUAGCCGUCGGGGGCCUAGAGUCCUUGGUGGCGCAGCUAACGCGAUAAGUUCUCCGCCUGGGGAGUACGGCCGCAAGGUUAAAACUCAAAUGAAUUGACGGGGGCCCGCACAAGCGGU
rnacentral:rRNA from 1 species